rnacentral:sRNA from 1 species
CUCAAAAUUGAAACCACUACAAUUAAUACUUCUAGAGGUAAUUGCAAGCGUGGCUUUGACAAGAUUACAUAUGGUUAGCUCUUUGCUUGUGUCUGGGUGUCAUCUGCUCCACUGGAUUUCUUUGGUGCUAGAGACAGCUGCAAAGCUUUAGGGGCCCAUCUGAUGACACUUAAGACUAGAGACAAAUUCAACCUGCUAGCAACAAAUAAUGUUGGAAGUAAAGAGCUUUACAUUGGUCUAACAGACUUUGUAACGGAGGGUAUAUUUAGAUGGACAGACGACGAUUCUAUCAGCAAUCUGAGUUCUAUACAAAGUUUCUUCAGGAAUGGCGAACCGAACGACCAUGCCGGCAACGAAGAUUGUGUCGCCUAUUACCCAUACGAAAAGCUAUUGAAUGACGUCAACUGCUUCGGACAGAGCCAUUAUAUUUGUGAACAGCCAAUUUAGGAGUUUUUCUUUAACGGAAUCAGAACAUUAA